CCUACCCUAGAAGCAUUGCAAGUGUGGCUGCUGUGUCACAUGUACAACAGUGGGUGGUAAAGAGGAGAGAGGUGAUGGUCUGUGCUGUGUUCUGACUUAUAAGCUCCUGGAUGACUAGUAGCCCAACAUU